CUUCUCCCUUUCAUGGAUAGAAUAUCGUAGAUAGAAGAAUACAUGCUUAAUUAAGGCUUCAAUGGCCUACUUACCUCUCGGCUAUCAAAAAGGGCACAUAUCCUUCUCCAGAGUACGAGUAAGCCAAUAUUAAUGUUAGUUUUGAGCCACAGUCAUGCAACCAUGUCCUCUUGUCGAUGAAGGCUUUCAGCCCUCGUAUUAUCCAGGAAUUCUUGAGGUCGAACAGUGACUGUCUCUCUUCCAAAGUGUGAUCAUCUUCUACAGUGGGCUAAACGAAAGAUCAUGCCGAGGGGCAUACUCGGUAUAAUCAAUGUGUCAAUGGUAUCUAUUUCAUGGAAAUCACCCACACACACUAUGAGCUAAGAACCAUGCAAAAAUGUUGUUUUCAGCAGCAGCAGCAGCUCAUACUUCAAACACAACUUCUGUAUCCGUGGGAUCGCUUCAUUAAUUUGACUAAAGUCAUCCUUCUUCUUUCCCAGCUGCCCGAAUAAGUUUAUCAUUCAAAAGUAACAAGUCCAUCUUUUUCAUGAAGACUUUCCUCCACUAUUGCCCUAUUAGAGCUAUCUGUUAUUGGGAGAGAGCACCGUAAUGAAUCACACUAUAGAAGCACAAGUUUUAGGUAGGCCAAAGCAUAACCUCAAACCGAAGGGGCGGAAAGGAUUCGGGAUAACCAGGCCAAGCAGAAGCUCCAUCUCUUGCUUGCUGUCUACCGAUUUUGGAUAGUGAGUGCCCCUGCCUGCUGAGUGGCAAGUUUCUCUUUUCGAUAGACUGUUUUUGGUCAUUUGACGCAACUCGUGCUCUUGUUCUUUAUGUAAGAUAUUGUUCAUUCUUGCACUUGAGA
rnacentral:lncRNA from 1 species